AGGAAUGCCUUGGCAUGAAAACCUGCCCUGAAUCCACCACCUGCUUGACAGAUAGAUACAAAGACUUGAAACAUGAGAGGAAAAGAGGAUGGUUGCAAGAAAAAAAAACCUAAACAAAAGAAAGGAAUUAAACCCAGCACAGGGGCAUGUAUUAAUACUGUGUGAGUGCCAUUGCAUGCACUGUUUCCUAGGAAAGAUGCACAGCAUCUUGCUUGACAGGCUAAGACUGACAGACCUCGACGAUUAAUCUCUACUGCCUUCUAAAAAGCAAACCCACUCAUCAGAAGUAUUGCAAAGUAUCAAAAAAUAAUUGGAGAGUGCAUGGAAGAUGCCAAACCUGUUGGCAUGCAAUGCACAUAGAUGUAACUCUACUUGUUACCUGCUCCACAAGUAGCCUUGUACAGCACCCCAGGCUUACAUUAGAGGCAUGGAAAUAGAGGUAUUAGAAUUCCUAUUAACCCUUCUAUCAGGGAGCCAAUUAAAAAGGGUGAAAUCUUCCUUGGACUGCUGGCUCUGCAGGGGAUCAGUACCAAUGAGCAAAGCAUUCUCACUGAGGAUGAGCCUGACUUUACAAUCCAGUAUCUUGUGUUACAGCUGUCUAUUGCAUCACACUAUCUGUCCUCAUCCUGGCUUCUCUUAUGCUCACUGACGGUUGUUUCCUGCAAUCUUCUUUUGGGGCUCUUCUUGUCAUUUAUUUAAAGAAUCCCUUUGGGAAACUAAAUUCAACAAGUGGUACUAUAUCUAGCUUUUACGGAGGUGAUAAUCAUAUGUUUAUAUUUCAGUAUUAUCAGUGACUGUGUUCUGUAACACAAUAGAAAGUCUUCAUUUUCUUAAUCACUAUUCUGAAAGUGUUUUGGGAGCUUUUAGAUUAUAAGGCACUCAAUAAAAUGUAAGGCUCUACUAUAACCCUAAGCAUGUCUGUCGAAAACUUCAACUCUGCGGUUUUCAUACAGUUGCUUUAUAUCUCACUUGAUACUUGUCCUAU